rfam:Schistosoma curassoni strain Dakar, Senegal genome assembly, scaffold: SCTD_contig0005265
AUCCAUCUGACGGGGCCCUAAUAGGACGAAACGCGCGUCCUAGAU